UUAACGAGUUUUUAUUUUUGUGUUUGAGUAGGGCCAAAGCCCAAUCUCAGCCUAUACUAAACACGAAACCCACUAACACCUUCUCUGUCUUCUAACGUCGUCGUCUUCUUCGUAACUUCUUAUCCUCCACGACCGAUUGCAGAAUCUGUGUAACGCCGUUUUCCUCAUUGAAUCCACUUCAUAACGUCUUUCCAUUAACUCCCUCCAUUCAACUCUGCCACUAACUUGACUUUAAUGACCCCUUUUAUCAAUUUCCAUCUCAAAUCCAUAAUUCAUGAGACUAUAAACAUGGAUAAAUACCUCACCAAAUCUCACUGCUUCAAGAGAUUAAUCAUAUUCCUUCCAUACAAAUCCAGCCUGUAAUGAUGGUGUCAUCUCAUAUCCUUAUUUCCGAUUUAAAGUCCGGUCGUUGUCCCAGAUGGUGGUGACGCUUUUUCUGUGUUUCUGGGGAGCACGCACUGUCAAGAAAAGAGGAGAGCUCAUGGGAUUCAACAUGCUGCUGUUUUAUGAAAAGAUGCAUGCUUAAGUGAUGAAGCUUUAAUAGACCCAAGUCAAGACUCGAGUUCCCAGUGACUAAUCAAGUCUCAAGAAAUGGAAACUGAUGAUCCUAAUAUAUAUAAUGAAAAGACUGGAUCUCACAAGAAGUUCAGGGUUUAAACACCAUCAUGGCUGUCGAGAUGACUGCAUAGUUUCUCAGGUUUGGCUGCAAAGGCAUCAUAUGUCCAGCCAACAUGUGCUGAGGGCUCUGCAAAGGAACACCUGGUUCCGGCAGUAGGAGUGCACUCAAGAAGGCAUGCAAAGAAUGGUUACUUAAGCUCUCCACAUCAAGACCCUCUUAUUUUUCCGAACCUUCGUUGACGUUAUGCUUUAAAAAAAAAUCAGAGUCUUUUGUUUAAUCUUCUUCCAUGUUUGCCACUUAAAUUUUUUUUCUUCCGUAACACAGUU